AACGACGCUGGCGGCAGGCCUAACACAUGCAAGUCGAGCGAACCCUUCGGGGUUAGCGGCGGACGGGUUAGUAACGCGUGGGAAUAUACCCUUUGGUACGGAAUAGCCUCGGGAAACUGAGAGUAAUACCGUAUGUGCCCUUCGGGGGAAAGAUUUAUCGCCAAAGGAUUAGCCCGCGUUGGAUUAGAUAGUUGGUGGGGUAAUGGCCUACCAAGUCUACGAUCCAUAGCUGGUUUGAGAGGAUGAUCAGCAACACUGGGACUGAGACACGGCCCAGACUCCUACGGGAGGCAGCAGUGGGGAAUCUUAGACAAUGGGCGCAAGCCUGAUCUAGCCAUGCCGCGUGGACGAUGAAGGCCUUAGGGUUGUAAAGUCCUUUCAGAUGGGAAGAUAAUGACGGUACCAUCAGAAGAAGCCCCGGCUAACUCCGUG
rnacentral:rRNA from 1 species